rnacentral:rRNA from 1 species
UACGUAGGGUGCGAGCGUUGUCCGGAAUUAUUGGGCGUAAAGAGCUUGUAGGCGGUCUGUCGCGUCUGCUGUGAAAACUCGGGGCUCAACUCCGAGCUUGCAUUCGAUACGGGCAGGCUAGAGUUCGGUAGGGGAGACUGGAAUUCCUGGUGUAGCGGUGAAAUGCGCAGAUAUCAGGAGGAACACCGGUGGCGAAGGCGGUUCUCUGGGCCUGUACUGACGCUGAGGAACGAAAGCGUGGGGAGCGAACAGG